rnacentral:rRNA from 1 species
AUGAACAAAGGGUGGCAGGGAUUUAGCUUCAGGAGAGAUUUUAAUGCUAAAACAAAGAAUCUUUGGGAUAGUUUAAAACAAAGAUGUGAAGAGGUUAGGAUGCAUGGGGGAAUAGAUCAACCAAUGUGGAUGCUAACUAAAAAUAGGAAAUUCUCAGUAAAAUCACUAUACUCCUUUUUGGUUAAUGAUGGAGUGGGAUUUCCACACAAAUUCUUAUGGAAAACAAAAGUGCCAUCAAAAAUCAAAUGUUUCUUCGGCUUGUGA